UGGGGAAUAUUGCACAAUGGGCGCAAGCCUGAUGCAGCCAUGCCGCGUGUGUGAAGAAGGCCUUCGGGUUGUAAAGCACUUUCAGCGAGGAGGAAGGUGGUGAACUUAAUACGUUCAUCAAUUGACGUUACUCGCAAAAGAAGCACCGGCUAACUCCGUGCCAGCAGCCGCGGUAAUACGGAGGGUGCAAGCGUUAAUCGGAAUUACUGGGCGUAAAGCGCACGCAGGCGGUUUGUUAAGUCAGAUGUGAAAUCCCCGGGCUCAACCUGGGAACUGCAUUUGAAACUGGCAAGCUAGAGUCUCGUAGAGGGGGGUAGAAUUCCAGGUGUAGCGGUGAAAUGCGUAGAGAUCUGGAGGAAUACCGGUGGCGAAGGCGGCCCCCCUGGACGAAGACUGACGCUCAGGUGCG
rnacentral:rRNA from 1 species